CUUCUUUUUUAACCCCUCUCAUAACCCAGAACAGGCCGAUUUCAAUGGCUGGAAUACAUAGACACCUCUUAACUUUUUAGUAAAAAUUGUUUAGACGCCUCAACUAGGACCAUGACCUAUCUACCGCUCGAUUGAAGUUUGCAGCAUAGCAGAGUUGUGGAUUUAGUAUGCAGAUUAGUUAAAACAGGGUAAGAUGGCAAAAUGCUCAAACACUUGAGAAAAGAGGCAUCAUAUAGAUUCCUGGAGUAAGGUUAAGAAAUAUGAAUACCUUGUUGCUAAAAAACACCCGAUCGUACUUGUAGCGAUGUGCUGGAUACACCCAAGAAUUGCAGACGAAACGAACUUCACCAUGUCCGGGAAUAUCUUCUAAAGCAACGGUCUUCAGCUCUAGGGAGAAAAUGUAAAUUACCAGGAUCAGCAUGGACAUCACUAAUGAGCUCUAGGAUGACGCGUUUGCCAAAGAGCUCGUGCAUUCGAUCAAGGAAGGCAGAACCAGCAUCCUUGAAGUUCAAUACAUUUUUCUUCCUCAGUACAACUGUCCCCUUGAUCUUAAUGGAACUGGUUUGAUUGCUAGAAUUGCUUUCUAUUGGAACGUCAUGCUGCUUCCCGCAAACCAUUUCCAGCAUUUUCUCCAGUACCUCUGUACAACAUGGUGGAAAGAUCCCCAUUGAACAAAAUGGAGAUACAGAACAAGUCCUAAAGAUAUGUUUUUGAGUUGAAAUAAAGCAAAUGUAUCCUCUUUGUAUUAGUGCAACAACAGUGAUAGACUUUUGUGUACUAUUAUAGCUGCAGUAGACUUGUAUAUCGUUGGAAUCCCAACUUGGAUCAAUUGAGGCAUCCACGUUGGUGUUAAGAAAUUCUAAAUCUUAGCUGGACAAGUUUGACUUGAUCCUUCCUUGUAGAAAAAAAUAUGAUCCUGGUAAUAUAUUCACAGAGCUUGAAUGUGAUCAA